UUAACAUGCAGUCGAACGGCAGCACGGGAGCAAUCCUGGUGGCGAGUGGCGAACGGGUGAGUAAUACAUCGGAACGUGUCCUGUAGUGGGGGAUAGCCCGGCGAAAGCCGGAUUAAUACCGCAUACGCUCUACGGAGGAAAGGGGGGGAUCUUAGGACCUCCCGCUACAGGGGCGGCCGAUGGCAGAUUAGCUAGUUGGUGGGGUAAAGGCCUACCAAGGCGACGAUCUGUAGCUGGUCUGAGAGGACGACCAGCCACACUGGGACUGAGACACGGCCCAGACUCCUACGGGAGGCAGCAGUGGGGAAUUUUGGACAAUGGGCGCAAGCCUGAUCCAGCAAUGCCGCGUGUGUGAAGAAGGCCUUCGGGUUGUAAAGCACUUUUGUCCGGAAAGAAAACCUCUGGGUUAAUACCCCGGGGGGAUGACGGUACCGGAAGAAUAAGCACCGG
rnacentral:rRNA from 3 species